GGACUACUAGGGUAUCUAAUCCCGUUUGCUCCCCUAGCUUUCGCGCCUCAGCGUCAGGAGUGCACCAGAGAGUCGCUUUCGCCGCCGGCGUUCUUCCCGAUCUCUACGCAUUUCACCGCUCCACCGGGAAUUCCACUCUCCCCUCGCACCCUCAAGCCAAGCAGUAUCGGGCGCAGUUCCUCGGUUGAGCCGAGGUAUUUCACACCCAACUUACUUAGCCGCCUACGCGCGCUUUAUGCCCAGUGAUUCCGAACAACGCUCGCCACCUACGUCUUACCGCGGCGGCUGGCAC
rnacentral:rRNA from 2 species